rnacentral:rRNA from 1 species
AGCGCAGACGGUUUAUUAAAUCUGAUGUGAAAGCCCGGAGCUCAACUCCGGAAUGGCAUUGGAAACUGGUUAACUUGAGUGCAGUAGAGGUAAGUGGAACUCCAUGUGUAGCGGUGGAAUGCGUAGAUAUAUGGAAGAACACCAGUGGCGAAGGCGGCUUACUGGACUGCAACUGACGUUGAGGCUCGAAAGUGUGGUAGCAAACA